GACGAACGCUGGCGGCGUGCUUAACACAUGCAAGUCGAACGGAAAGGCCCUUCUUGCAGGGUACUCGAGUGGCGAACGGGUGUGUAACACGUGUGUGAUCUGCCCUGCACUUCGGUAUAAGCCUGGGAAACUGGGUCUAAUACCGGAUAGGAUCCCUUUUUAUUGUGAUGGUUGGAAAGUUUUUUCGGUGUAGGAUGAGCUCGCGGCCUAUCAGCUUGUUGGUGGGGUAAUGGCCUACCAAGGCGGCGACGGGUAGCCGGCCUGAGAGGGUGGACGGCCACAUAGGGACUGAGAGACGGCCCAGACUCAUACGGGAGGCAGCAGUGAGGAAUAUUGAACGAGGGGCGGAAGCAUGAUGCAGCGACGCAGCGUGGGGGAUGACGGCCUUCGGGUUGUAAACUCCUUUCGCUAGGGACGAAGCUUUUGGGACGGUACCUAGAUAAGAAGCACCGGCUAACUACGUG
rnacentral:rRNA from 1 species